CUCUGUUUUUACAAUUUCCUUCUACAACAUUCACGAUAUAUUAACACAAUUAAAUGUCAAAAGUUGGAAGGAUGAGAUUUGAUGUUAAAAGACCGAACAAGACAAGCUUAGACUGUUUUGUCCACAGGGGGGCGCCAAACUUGACACAAACCAAAGUCCAAAGCAUAGAAAUAGAAGAAAGUGAAAGUUUGUAUCGUACAGAUUAGUGCUGGACGAUAAUUCGAUAACAAUAUAUAUCGAUCGAUAGAUGUGUGGUACGAUAGAAAAAAAACGGGUCGAUAAAAAGUUCGAUAGAAAAACACAGUUUCCCUUUCUUUUUCAUCAUAGCCUAUCAUGUAGCUUUCACUACAGUCAUUACUUCCUCCCAACCAAUCACAAACGCAGAUCCAGGUACGCUACGGCACCAAGCCCAGCCCCUCUCAAACCACAACAGACAGCACGUGUAUUAGAAAUAAUGUUACAGCAAGGAGAAGCGGAGGACAUUGUCCCGAAAAAAGGUUUCAGUAGUUCACCAGCAUGGCAGUGUUUUGGUUUUUAGAAGUCUGACAAAAAGCGAACAGCGGUCGUUUGCAAAAUUUGCAGAGAAUUAGUAAAAACUAAGUCUGGUAACACAAUCAACUUGUUUUACCAUCUAAACCGGUCGCACCCGCAGGAGUACGAGCUGUGUCGGCCGCGCCGCGGCUCCACGUCAUCGUCGGAGGAAUCCUCUGGAACCACUGCCAGCACCAGCACAAAGCAUGUGAAGCAGACCAAACUGGACUUCGUUUCUCUCCAAAAAUACGACAAAGCGUCCAAGCGGCAUAAGGACAUCACCCAUGCAGUAACAUGAUCCAUAGCGAGGGACAUACUGCCAGUAACUACCGUUGAAAAGCCUGGCUUCAAACAGCUUCUAGCCACUCUCGACCCGCGAUAUGAAGUGCCCGGCCGCAAGUAUUUCUCAAACACAGCGCUUCAGGCAUGAAAACGGGUCAGGGGUAGAAAAGGUGAGAAGGGUGCGGAGGAAAUACGUUCCGGUGUUAUGCCGUAGAAUGCACCCCUGCAUCCCGUCCACUCAUUAGCUAAAGUGGAAGAAAAUGAGCUCAUAAAGCUCACAAAGACGCGAGUAUUUGGAUCAUGACUACUAGCAGGGGGUGCAUUCGGCAGGGAUGCAUUCUACGACACAACACCGGCGUGGAUAAGUCAUGCUUCUCGUGCUCAGUUUGCGUAUUAAGUCAAUCACAUGAUAAUUAAAAAAAAUAAAUCUCCCGACCCCGGGAGAAAUAUUUCAGUGUUCAGACACCAGGUUGUGGGCAGUUUCCCACACAGUUAAAACUGGCAGUAUGCUAUUCCCACCUAAAGCUAUUCUGUUUAUUUGUAUAUUUGUUUGUUUUGUUUAUUUUCAUCAAAAGACUAUUUAAAUAUUUAUUUAACAGAUUUUCUGGUCACUUUAGUCUUUAUGUUUGUCAGUAUUUACUGACGUCACUCAGGCCACUUAAGUUGAUUUCUUUUUUUUUUUUAAGUUCUUUUUUAAAAAACUUUCAGUUGUGGUAAAAAAAAAAAAAGGUGGUUGAAUAAAGGUUUGAAUUUGAAUUCAGUGCUUGUGUGUUCUUUAUUAAAAGUAGGUCAUUAAGCAAUAGCAUAACACAUCCAGGGCUGCAAUUAAAAUAUAUGUUAAAUAAUUAUAAUAAUUAUAUUGAUAAUUAUCGAUAUCGAUCAAUAUGAUUUAUUUUUUAUCGAUAUGCUUUUUUUCUAUAUCGUCCAGGCCUAGUACAGAUACCUGAUGAUGAUGAAUUUAAAGACGCACCAACUGUUUUAUGUUAUCAUAGAUUUAUUGAUUACAGUAAAAGUCACAUCUACCCGCUAAAUACUGGACAAAAUUCAAUCACUUUAAUGAAAUUCGUACAAUUCUCACUUAAGCAUUCACACAAAUCUCCCAUUUUCAGGAAACCUUGAAGAUGACACACCAACUUUUAUGUGUGCGCUUUUAUUCCUCUCCACAUUCAUCUGUUGGUCAAAAAAUCAAAGCAGGUCAGUGAAG
rnacentral:lncRNA from 1 species